AAUCCUUUUGAACAUGUUAGGAAAGAAUUUAAAUAUAAUCUAAAGCCUCAAGCUAGAACUGCUUUAGAAAAAGCUGCUCAUAAAGUUUCAGACCUGGAUUACUUAUUGGAAAUGCUAUUUGAGUUUAUUCAUACUUAUGUUCAGUAUUGUGAUGUGAAUGACAGCAAGCAACCAUUAAACCACUUCUUUGAAGAAUUUCUCAAGCAAACCAGGUCAAAGAUUAUUUCAGAUUUGAAAAAAGUUUUUUCUCAAAGUGUUCUAUUGAGUCAAGUUACAGAUUGCUGGAAAUGCUUAGCUGAUUUUGAGGAUUCUAUUAAAAAACUUAAAAGCUAUUAGCCUUUAGUAAUUUGGAUCAGUAAUUUAGUUAGUUCUGACAUUGUUAUUUUGUUUAUAACUGUAGUUUGUUUAUUACUGUAAUCUGUAGUUGAUCUUUCUUUGCUAUUUACUGA